CGGACUAUCGCCAAAUGGAUAAGGCACACGGCUACGGACCGUGCAUUCAGGGUUCGAAUCCCCGUAGUCCGG
rnacentral:tRNA from 1 species